UACGAAGGGGGCUAGCGUUGUUCGGAUUUACUGGGCGUAAAGCGCACGUAGGCGGAUCGAUCAGUCAGGGGGUGAAAUCCCAGAGCUCAACUCUGGAACUGCCUUUUGAUACUGUCGAUCUGGAGUAUGGAAGAGGUGAGUGGAAUUCCGAGUGUAGAGGUGAAAUUCGUAGAUAUUCGGAGGAACACCAGUGGCGAAGGCGGCUCACUGGUCCAUUACUGACGCUGAGGUGCGAAAAGCGUGGGGGAGCAAACAGG
rnacentral:rRNA from 1 species